rnacentral:lncRNA from 1 species
AAUGUCCUACCAGCCUCAACAUCAUUCCAAAUGUACUAAUCCCAGUGCAUUUGUGAUAUCACAGGGAUGGUCUAUCCAUUCUGCCCUGUGUCCUCAGCAGGGGUUUAGUGCCAUGAAGGGAUGAGCAGGCCCAGGCAUUUCUGUCCACUGUUUACACAAAGAAAUCUGAGCACUGUAACCUGGCAAAUCUGCAGUGAUCCCAGCAGGAACCAGGAUUCCACUUAUACUGGUUUAAUGGAAUAGAAAUGGAUGAAGUGCUGGGUAGUCGACGUUCCCUCUGGUGUGACCCCAAGGGGGCAUGUUGAAAUAUUAAUCCAAUGCAGGUUUUGCACAUUGAAGAUGUCUUCCCCUAGAUGUUUUUUGGCCUUAGUUUGAGCAAUCACUAGCUGGGAAUGCCCUCCUCAAAGUGCUCCCAGCAGUCUGGCCAUGGCUCCAGCAAGCAGCAUUGUGGAGUGAGACCUCCCAGUGUGGUUUUGAGGACUGCAUGAGCUAAGGUGUGGAGCGCCAGGCCACUGCCCUGCAGGUGCUCGUUAUUUAUUAUCAAAGGUUU